rnacentral:tRNA from 1 species
UACAAAAGAUAGUUUAGUGAAAAUGCUAGUUUUGGGGGCUGGUGAUGGGGGUUUAUAACCUCCUCUUUUGA